CAGUCGCCGCGGUAAUACGAAGGGUGCAAGCGUUACUCGGAAUUACUGGGCGUAAAGCGUGCGUAGGUGGUGGUUUAAGUCCGUUGUGAAAGCCCUGGGCUCAACCUGGGAAUUGCAGUGGAUACUGGGUCACUAGAGUGUGGUAGAGGAUAGUGGAAUUUCCGGUGUAGCAGUGAAAUGCGUAGAGAUCGGAAGGAACAUCUGUGGCGAAGGCGACUAUCUGGGCCAACACUGACACUGAGGCACGAAAGCGUGGGGAGCAAACAGGAUUAGAUACCCCGGUAGUCCCUGUCUCUUAUAA
rnacentral:rRNA from 1 species